CACAAAGAGGAACUUCAGCAGUUCUUAAAGCACAAUACAGCAGUCUCCUUCUGAGAGUCAGGACUAGAGAGGGUUACUUCAUACUUAUGCAAGACAAAAACGAGCAAGAUUUCCUGUCAAAAUAGAA